UACGGAGGAUCCAAGCGUUGUCCGGAUUUAUUGGGUUUAAAGGGUGCGUAGGCGGAUAUACAAGUCAGUGGUGAAAGCUAGCAGCUCAACUGCUAAAUUGCCUUUGAAACUGUAUAUCUUGAGUAUAUUUGAGGUGGGCGGAAUGUAUCAUGUAGCGGUGAAAUGCUUAGAUAUGAUACAGAACUCCGAUUGCGAAGGCAGCUCACUAAACUAUAACUGACGCUGAGGCACGAAAGCGUGGGUAGCGAACAGG
rnacentral:rRNA from 1 species